CGCCUCUUGAAUAUCUAUAAGAGGUCCAGCCUGCCCAGUGACUCUGUUCAACGGCCGCGGUAUCCUAACCGUGCGAAGGUAGCGUAAUCACUUGUUCUUUAAAUGAGGACUCGUAUGAAUGGCACCACGAGGGUUAUACUGUCUCCUUUUUCUAAUCGGUGAAACUAAUCUCCCCGUGAAGAAGCGGGGAUAAAAAUAUAAGACGAGAAGACCCUAUGGAGCUUUAAACUUGAUAACAAAUACUACUCUUAAUUUAACUUUCAGAACAUAAACCUUUACUUUAGUAUUAUGAUUAUUAGUUUUAGGUUGGGGUGACCGCGGAGCAAAAAUUAACCUCCACAUUGAACGGAAUUCAUUCCUGAGCAAAAAGCCACGACUUUAAGCACCAACAAAUUGACAUCAAUUGACCCAAUAUUUUGAUCAACGAACCAAGUUACCCUAGGGAUAACAGCGCAAUCCACUUCAAGAGCUCCUAUCGACAAGUGGGUUUACGACCUCGAUGUUGGAUCAGGGUAUCCCAGUGGUGCAGCCGCUACUAAAGGUUCGUUUGUUCAACGAUUAAAACCCUA
rnacentral:rRNA from 1 species